CAGCCGCCGCGGGAAUACGUAGGGUGCGAGCGUUAAUCGGAAUUACUGGGCGUAAAGCGUGCGCAGGCGGUUGUGUAAGACAGGUGUGAAAUCCCCGGGCGUAACCUAGGAACUGCGCUUGUGACUGCACAGCUAGAGUAUGGCAGAGGGGGGUGGAAUUCCACGUGUAGCAGUGAAAUGCGUAGAGAUGUGGAGGAACACCGAUGGCGAAGGCAGCCCCCUGGGCCAAUACUGACGCUCAUGCACGAAAGCGUGGGGAGCAAACAGGAUUAGAUACCCCCGUAGUCCCUGUCUCUUAUAC
rnacentral:rRNA from 1 species